GGUUUCCAACAUGAAGACCAAUCAUUACUCUUGACUCGUAUCGCUGAACUCUACUGUAUACACCAGCAUUAAAAAGAUGGAUCCUUGUGCAGCUGUGAAGCCCAAAAAGAAGAUCCUCCAAAACAUCCAAAACCUCCCAGGGCCAAGUGGAGCAAUUCAACAGAGGAAUGACCCAACAAAGGACAGCGACUCAUCAGAGGACAGCAACUCAUCAGAGGACAGCG